rnacentral:rRNA from 1 species
GAUGAACGCUGGCGGCGUGCCUAAUACAUGCAAGUCGAGCGAACGGACGAGAAGCUUGCUUCUCUGAUGUUAGCGGCGGACGGGUGAGUAACACGUGGAUAACCUACCUAUAAGACUGGGAUAACUUCGGGAAACCGGAGCUAAUACCGGAUGAUAUUUUGAACCGCAUGGUUCAAAAGUGAAAGACGGUCUUGCUGUCACUUAUAGAUGGAUCCGCGCUGCAUUAGCUAGUUGGUAAGGUAACGGCUUACCAAGGCAACGAUGCAUAGCCGACCUGAGAGGGGGGCGGGCCACCAGGAAAGGAGAACCCGGCCAGAACCCCAGGGGGGGGAAACAUGAGGGAACCUUCCGAAGGGGCAGAAGGCGGACCGAGACACGCCGGCGGGAGUGAGGAAGGUUUCGGGAUCGGAAAACUUUUUUAUUGGGAAAAAAAAUAUGUAAAAGUACCUGUGCACAUCUGGCCGGUCCCAAAUAAGAAGGCCCCGGCUAACUCCGUG